GGGAAAGAAAGAAGUAUGUGCAGUUUCCUUCUCAGUGUGAGGUUUGAAAACAAGGCUUUGAUCUGAGCAUGGAUAACUCUGCUGAGGUUCAAUACUACAUUAAGAAAAGAUCCAGCCCUGAACACCUCUUGAAGAAAAAUCACACUGAUGUCAAUUUGCUGUCAGCUUCUGCUGAUGGCAGUUCUGCAGAGCUUUUGAUGAAAACUAAAUCUUCUCAUCUCUGGCAUAUUCCUCAUGAAAAGACAACAACAAACACUUCAAGCA